GCCCUGUUAGCACAGAUGGUAGUGCGUAAGACUUCUAAUCUUAAGGUCGCGGGUUCGAGCCCCGCAUGGGGUU
rnacentral:tRNA from 3 species